rnacentral:rRNA from 1 species
CCUACGGGUGGCAGCAGUGAGGAAUAUUGGUCAAUGGGCGCGAGCCUGAACCAGCCAAGUAGCGUGAAGGAUGACUGCCCUGCGGGUUGUAGACUUCUUUUAUCAAGGAAUAAAGUGACGGACGUGUGCCUUUUUGUAUGUACUUUAUGAAUAAGCAUCGGCUAACUCCGUGCCAGCAGCCGCGGUAAUACGGAGGAUCCGAGCGUUAUCCGGAUUUAUUGGGUUUAAAGGGAGCGGAGAUGGGUUGUUAAGUCAGGUGUGAAAGUUUGGGGCUCAACCGUAAAAUUGCAAUUGAUACUGGCAGUCUUGAGUACAGUUGAGGCAGGCGGAAUUCGUGGUGUAGCGGUGAAAUGCAUAGAUAUCACGAAGAACCCCGAUUGCGAAGGCAGCGUACUAAACUGCCACUGACAUUGAUGCUCGAAAGUGUGGGUAUCGAACAGGAUUAGAUACCCUUGUAGUC